rnacentral:rRNA from 1 species
UACAGAGGUCUCAAGCGUUGUUCGGAUUCAUUGGGCGUAAAGGGUGCGUAGGCGGCAUGUUAAGUCAGUGGUGAAAUCCGGUGGCCCAACCAUCGAACUGCCAUUGAUACUGGCGUGCUUGAGUGCGUGAGGGGUGACCGGAACGAGUGGUGUAGCGGUGAAAUGCGUAGAUAUCACUCGGAAGGCCAACGGCGAAGGCAGGUCACUGGUGCGCAACUGACGCUGAGGCACGAAAGCGUGGGGAGCAAACAGG